rnacentral:rRNA from 1 species
AAUAUUGGACAAUGGUGGGAUCCCUGAUCCAGCCAUGCCGCGUGUGUGAAGAAGGCCUUUUGGUUGUAAAGCACUUCAAGCGAGGAGGAGGCUACUCUAGUUAAUACCUAUCGAUAGUGGACGUUACUCGCAGAAUAAGCACCGGCUAACUCUGUGCCAGCAUCCGCUGUAAUACAGAGGGUGCAAGCGUUAAUCGGAUUUACUUGGCGUAAAGCAGGCGUAGGUGGCCAAUUAAGUCAAAAGUGAAAUACACGAGGUGAACUUGGGAAUUGCAUUCGAUACUGGUUGGCUAGAGUAUGGGAGAAGAUGGUAGAAUUCCAGGUGUAGCGGUGAAAUGCGUAGAGAUCUGGAGGAAUACCGAUGGCGAAGGCAGCCAUCUGGCCUAAUACUGACACUGAGGUGCGAAAGCAUGGGGAGCAAACA